rnacentral:rRNA from 1 species
GAUGAACGCUAGCGGCAGGCCUAACACAUGCAAGUCGAGGGGUAGCAGGAUUAAGCUUGCUUAAUUGCUGACGACCGGCGCACGGGUGCGUAACGCGUAUGCAACCUACCUUAUACUGGGGUAUAGCCCGGAGAAAUUCGGAUUAAUCCCCCAUAGUACUAAUGAAUCGCAUGGUUUAUGAGUUAAAUCAUUGCGGGAGAAGUUGGGCAUGCGUCCUAUUAGCUAGAUGGUGAGGUAACGGCUCACCAUGGCUACGAUAGGUAGGGGGCCUGAGAGGGUGGUCCCCACACUGGUACUGAGACACGGACCAGACUCCUACGGGAGGCAGCAGUGAGGAAUAUUGGUCAAUGGGCGCAAGCCUGAACCAGCCAUGCCGCGUGCAGGAAGAAUGCCCUAUGGGUUGUAAACUGCUUUUAUUUGGGAAUAAACCUCAUUACGUGUAGAGAGCUGAAGGUACCAAAUGAAUAAGCACCGGCUAACUCCGUGCCAGCAGCCGCGGUAA